GAUGAACGCUGGCGGCGUGCUUAACACAUGCAAGUCGAACGGAAAGGCUCCUGCUUGCAGGGGUACUCGAGUGGCGAACGGGUGAGUAACACGUGGGUGAUCUGCCCUGCACUUCGGGAUAAGCCUGGGAAACUGGGUCCAAUACCGGAUAGGACGAUGGUUUGGAUGCCAUUGUGGAAAGUUUUUCGGUGUGGGAUGAGCUCGCGGCCUAUCAGCUUGUUGGUGGGGUAAUGGCCUACCAAGGCGUCGACGGGUAGCCGGCCUGAGAGGGUGUACGGCCACAUUGGGACUGAGAUACGGCCCAGACUCCUACGGGAGGCAGCAGUGGGGAAUAUUGCACAAUGGGCGCAAGCCUGAUGCAGCGACGCCGCGUGGGGGAUGACGGCCUUCGGGUUGUAAACUCCUUUCGCUAGGGACGAAGCGCAAGUGACGGUACCUGGAGAAGAAGCACCGGCUAACUACGUG
rnacentral:rRNA from 1 species